UUAAGCGACUAAGCGUACACGGUGGAUGCCCUGGCAGUCAGAGGCGAUGAAGGACGUGCUAAUCUGCGAAAAGCGUCGGUAAGGUGAUAUGAACCGUUAUAACCGGCGAUGUCCGAAUGGGGAAACCCAGUGCAAUUCGUUGCACUAUCGUUAACUGAAUACAUAGGUUAACGAGGCGAACCGGGGGAACUGAAACAUCUAAGUACCCCGAGGAAAAGAAAUCAACCGAGAUUCCCCCAGUAGCGGCGAGCGAACGGGGAGCAGCCCAGAGUCUGAAUCAGCUUGUGUGUUAGUGGAACGGUCUGGAAAGUCCGACGGUACAGGGUGAUAGUCCCGUACACCAAAAUGCACAGGCUGUGAACUCGAAGAGUAGGGCGGGACACGUGGUAUCCUGUCUGAAUAUGGGGGGACCAUCCUCCAAGGCUAAAUACUCCUGACUGACCGAUAGUGAACCAGUACCGUGAGGGAAAGGCGAAAAGAACCCCGGCGAGGGGAGUGAAAAAGAACCUGAAACCGUGUACGUACAAGCAGUGGGAGCRCCUUCGGGUGUGACUGCGUACCUUUUGUAUAAUGGGUCAGCGACUUAUAUUCUGUAGCAAGGUUAACCGUAUAGGGGAGCCGCAGGGAAACCGAGUCUUAACUGGGCGUUAAGUUGCAGGGUAUAGACCCGAAACCCGGUGAUCUAGCCAUGGGCAGGUUGAAGGUUGGGUAACACUAACUGGAGGACCGAACCGACUAAUGUUGAAAAAUUAGCGGAUGACUUGUGGCUGGGGGUGAAAGGCCAAUCAAACCGGGAGAUAGCUGGUUCUCCCCGAAAGCUAUUUAGGUAGCGCCUCGUGAAUUCAUCUUCGGGGGUAGAGCACUGUUUCGGCUAGGGGGUCAUCCCGACUUACCAACCCGAUGCAAACUACGAAUACCGAAGAAUGUUAUCACGGGAGACACACGGCGGGUGCUAACGUCCGUCGUGAAGAGGGAAACAACCCAGACCGCCAGCUAAGGKCCCAAAGUCAUGGUUAAGUGGGAAACGAUGUGGGAAGGCACAGACAGCCAGGAUGUUGGCUUAGAAGCAGCCAUCAUUUAAAGAAAGCGUAAUAGCUCACUGGUCGAGUCGGCCUGCGCGGAAGAUGUAACGGGGCUAAACCAUGCACCGAAGCUGCGGCAGCGACACUAUGUGUUGUUGGGUAGGGGAGCGUUCUGUAAGCCUGCGAAGGUGUGCUGUGAGGCAUGCUGGAGGUAUCAGAAGUGCGAAUGCUGACAUAAGUAACGAUAAAGCGGGUGAAAAGCCCGCUCGCCGGAAGACCAAGGGUUCCUGUCCAACGUUAAUCGGGGCAGGGUGAGUCGACCCCUAAGGCGAGGCCGAAAGGCGUAGUCGAUGGGAAACAGGUUAAUAUUCCUGUACUUGGUGUUACUGCGAAGGGGGGACGGAGAAGGCUAUGUUAGCCGGGCGACGGUUGUCCCGGUUUAAGCAUGUAGGCUGAUUGUCCAGGCAAAUCCGGAUAAUCAAGGCUGAGGUGUGAUGACGAGGCACUACGGUGCUGAAGUAACAAAUGCCCUGCUUCCAGGAAAAGCCUCUAAGCAUCAGGUAACAUCAAAUCGUACCCCAAACCGACACAGGUGGUCAGGUAGAGAAUACCAAGGCGCUUGAGAGAACUCGGGUGAAGGAACUAGGCAAAAUGGUGCCGUAACUUCGGGAGAAGGCACGCUGGUGUGUAGGUGAAGCCCCUGCGGGUGGAGCUGAGACCAGUCGAAGAUACCAGCUGGCUGCAACUGUUUAUUAAAAACACAGCACUGUGCAAACACGAAAGUGGACGUAUACGGUGUGACGCCUGCCCGGUGCCGGAAGGUUAAUUGAUGGGGUUAUCCGUAAGGAGAAGCUCUUGAUCGAAGCCCCGGUAAACGGCGGCCGUAACUAUAACGGUCCUAAGGUAGCGAAAUUCCUUGUCGGGUAAGUUCCGACCUGCACGAAUGGCGUAAUGAUGGCCAGGCUGUCUCCACCCGAGACUCAGUGAAAUUGAACUCGCUGUGAAGAUGCAGUGUACCCGCGGCAAGACGGAAAGACCCCGUGAACCUUUACUAUAGCUUGACACUGAACAUUGAGCCUUGAUGUGUAGGAUAGGUGGGAGGCUUUGAAGCGUGGACGCCAGUCUGCGUGGAGCCAACCUUGAAAUACCACCCUUUAAUGUUUGAUGUUCUAACGUUGGCCCCUUACCGGGGUUGCGGACAGUGUCUGGUGGGUAGUUUGACUGGGGCGGUCUCCUCCCAAAGCGUAACGGAGGAGCACGAAGGUUAGCUAAUCCUGGUCGGACAUCAGGAGGUUAGUGCAAUGGCAUAAGCUAGCUUGACUGCGAGCGUGACGGCGCGAGCAGGUGCGAAAGCAGGUCAUAGUGAUCCGGUGGUUCUGAAUGGAAGGGCCAUCGCUCAACGGAUAAAAGGUACUCCGGGGAUAACAGGCUGAUACCGCCCAAGAGUUCAUAUCGACGGCGGUGUUUGGCACCUCGAUGUCGGCUCAUCACAUCCUGGGGCUGAAGUAGGUCCCAAGGGUAUGGCUGUUCGCCAUUUAAAGUGGUACGCGAGCUGGGUUUAGAACGUCGUGAGACAGUUCGGUCCCUAUCUGCCGUGGGCGCUGGAGAAUUGAGGGGGGCUGCUCCUAGUACGAGAGGACCGGAGUGGACGCAUCACUGGUGUUCGGGUUGUCAUGCCAAUGGCACUGCCCGGUAGCUAAAUGCGGAAGAGAUAAGUGCUGAAAGCAUCUAAGCACGAAACUUGCCCCGAGAUGAGUUCUCCCUGAGACUUUAAGUCUCCUGAAGGAACGUUAAAGACGAUGACGUUGAUAGGCCGGGUGUGUAAGCGCAGCGAUGCGUUGAGCUAACCGGUACUAAUGAACCGUGAGGCUUAACCUU
rnacentral:rRNA from 1 species